UACGAAGGGGGCUAGCGUUGCUCGGAAUCACUGGGCGUAAAGCGCACGUAGGCGGAUCUUUAAGUCAGGGGUGAAAUCCUGGAGCUCAACUCCAGAACUGCCUUUGAUACUGGGGAUCUCGAGUCCGGAAGAGGUGAGUGGAACUCCGAGUGUAGAGGUGAAAUUCGUAGAUAUUCGGAAGAACACCGGUGGCGAAGGCGGGUCUCUGGGCCGAUACUGACGCUGAGGAGCGAAAGCGUGGGGAGCGAACAGG
rnacentral:rRNA from 1 species